rnacentral:rRNA from 1 species
GGCGAAAGGGCGAGGAAUACAUGGGCAACGUGGCUUGUGCACGAGGAUAACUGCGGGAAGCUGCAGUUAAUACUCGAUAAGACCACAGUAUCUUCGGGUGCAGGGGUCAAACGGUGGGGACCUUCGGGCCUACCGGCAUUUGAGCGACCCAUGUCCUAUCAGCUUGUUGGUGAGGUAACGGCUCACCAAGGCGACGACGGGUACCGGGACUGAGAGGUUGACCCGGCGCAUCGGGACUGAGACACUGCCCGGACUCCUACGGGAGGCUGCAGUAACGAAUAUUCCGCAAUGGGCGAAAGCCUGACGGAGCGACGCCGCGUGUGGGAGGAAGCCCUUCGGGGUGUAAACCACUGUCAGGGAUUACCAAGCAAAGUUGGCGAAUAGCCUUCUGCGUUGAGGAGUCCCAGAGGAAGCCACGGCUAACUUCGUGCCAGCAGCCGCGGUAAUACGAAGGUGGCGAGCGUUGUUCGGAAUCACUGGGCUUAAAGGGCACGCAGGCGGACUGUAAAGCGUCUUGUGAAAUCCCUCAGCUUAACUGAGGAAUUGCAUGGCGAACUGCCAUUCUUGAGGCAAGUAAGGGUGCAUAGAACUCUUGGUGGAGCGGUGGAAUGCGUAGAUAUCAAGAGGAAUGCCGAUGGAGAAAUCAGUGCACUGGGCUUGUCCUGACGCUCAGAUACGAAAGCGUGGGGAGCGAACGGGAUUAGAUACCCCGGUAGUCCACGCCGUAAACGAUGUCUACUAGGUUGUGGCGGUUCUGACGCCGGCACGGCCGAAGCAAAAGUGUUAAGUAGACCGCCUGGGAAAUACGGUCGCAAGGCUAAAACUCAAAGGAAUUGACGGGGGCUCACACAAGCGGUGGAGCAUGUGGAUUAAUUCGAAGCAACGCGCAGAACCUUACCUGGGUUUGACAUGCUUGGAUGCUUUCCUGGAAACAGGUAAAGCUACCCUUCGGGGUGAAACUUGCACAGGUGCUGCAUGGCUGUCGUCAGCUCGUGUCGUGAGACGUCGGGUUAAGUCCUUUAACGAGCGAAACCCUUGCCGUUAGUUACCAGCGGGUUAUGCCGGGCACUCUAACGGGACUGCCGGUGUUAAACCGGAGGAAGGUGGGGACGACGUCAAGCCAUCAUGGCCUUUAUGCCCAGGGCUUCACACGUGCUACAAUGGCGGCGACAGAGCGACGCAAGACCGUGAGGUGGAGCAAAUCGCAAAAACGUCGCCUCAGUUCGGAUUGCAGGCUGGCAACUCGCCUGCAUAAAGUUGGAAUCGCUAGUAAUCGCGUAUCAGCAAUGACGCGGUGAAUGUGUUCCUGAGCCUUGUACACACCGCCCGUCAAGUGAUGGAAGUCGGGAGUACCCGAAGUCGGAUUGCCAACCCUUUUGGGAGGCGUCUGCCGACGUAAGCCCGAUGACUG